rnacentral:rRNA from 1 species
AUGAUAGAUUUUCGUGAUGUGCUGGAAGUUUGCAGAUUGGGUGAUCUUGGUUUUGCAGGAUUACCCUACACAUAUGAUAACAAACGCGAAGGGCGGGCGAAUGUCAAGGUACGCCUCGACCGAGCCGUUGCGAAUAAUUCCUGGAGGGAUAUUUUUGGUCAUGCGAAGGUUGAGCACUUGGUGUCUCCUAGCUCAGAUCAUUUGCCCAUCCUGCUCCGCUGCUUAAUUGAGGAGCCUUUCUGGGUUGCUGGAAGGAGAUGCCGCCAAUAUGAGGUCAUGUGGGAAAGGGACCCCUCUUUACCGGAGGUAAUUAUGAAUACAUGGACUGAAUUAGGGUCUAUGCUUAAACUUGGUGAUAUUGCUUCUGGUUUGGAAAUUUGAUGAAACAGUUGCAGGAUUGGAGCUGAUUUUUUUGGUAAUAUCAUUAAGGAAAUUAAUAAAUCUUGCUCUCAUCAGGAGGAGCUUAUGUCCAUGAACGCAGAUAGAAAGGACAUCAGAGAGGCCACUGAUAGACUGAACGAACUCUUGUAUCAUGAGGAGAUGCUUUGGAUGCAGCGGUCGCGGAUUGCAUGGUUAAAGGAAGGGGAUCGGAACACUCGGUUUUUUCGGAAGGUUGUCUGGCAGCCAGCAAAAAUCAGAUAA